rnacentral:rRNA from 1 species
GUGAACGCUGGCGGUAGGCCUAACACAUGCAAGUCGAACGGCAGCACAGUAAGAGCUUGCUCUUACGGGUGGCGAGUGGCGGACGGGUGAGGAAUACAUCGGAAUCUACUUUUUCGUGGGGGAUAACGUAGGGAAACUUACGCUAAUACCGCAUACGACCUACGGGUGAAAGCAGGGGAUCUUCGGACCUUGCGCGAUUGAAUGAGCCGAUGUCGGAUUAGCUAGUUGGCGGGGUAAAGGCCCACCAAGGCGACGAUCCGUAGCUGGUCUGAGAGGAUGAUCAGCCACACUGGAACUGAGACACGGUCCAGACUCCUACGGGAGGCAGCAGUGGGGAAUAUUGGACAAUGGGCGCAAGCCUGAUCCAGCCAUACCGCGUGGGUGAAGAAGGCCUUCGGGUUGUAAAGCCCUUUUGUUGGGAAAGAAAAGCAGCAGGUUAAUACCCCGCUGUUCUGACGGUACCCAGAGAAUAAGCACCGGCUAACUUCGUG